CGCGAACCCCGGCACCCGGGCCAGGCGGCAGCGCCGCCCCCCAAAGUAGCCGCGCUUGGCCCGGGGACCCUGCAGGCUUAGAAACGUGAGUCACGCCUGCAGCGUGGCGAGGAAACGCCGUUGAUGUGGCAUCCUCAGCCUGGGGUUGUGGCUUUAAGCCAGAAGGUCAAAAAAAGAAGUCUUCCUGAGCUGAGACUGCCCUGAGUCGCUUUAGGGGCGAAAUUCCGAGCAUCCGGUUGCAUUUCCUGAGGAUGACACGCGUGGUGGGUGUGGACGGCCUACAGGGGUCCAUCCUCAGCGGCCCCUCUGCAGGGCAGUCUCGCUCUCACUCUCCCAGCUGACUCCUCUCAAGCCUGUUAACCAUUGUACACGUUCCCAAGGACUCCAAGCAGGUUGGACUUCAGGGAACAUUGCAGUUUGGGUCUUGGCCAUUGUUUACACUCCACCUUGCAUAAGUGCUUGAGGAUCACACAACCAGAUACGUAGAUCAUCCGUAGAUCAUCGCAGUCACAUCGAAGAUUUGUUUAUAAUAGGAAAAAAAAAAGCUACCCACUGUCAUGCGCUGGGAAACUAGUGAGCUGAAGGAUGACCCAUCUGUAAAUGGGGUGCUCCCUAAUGGACAGGGCACCUUUCAGAAGCCUGUGCUGUGUCUCCUCGACCCCACUGUGAGCUCCCCGUCCCGCACGCUGAUCUAAAUCAAGCUGCUAACCUCAUGGAGAGGCGUCCGCACGGGAGCCCCGGCCCUGAGAUGCGGGGCAGUCACCCAUUCAAUUAGGAAACACCAGCAAGUGCCAGAAGCUUCUCAUUAGCAGCAGGGAGUGUGGGUGUGGCAGCAACCCAGCAUCUACCAUGCCGACCAUGUGCCAUGCCAUGCACCGCGUGUCGUAACAGGACAACAGAGCAAGAGACCCAGCAGACAGGGGUCCCCAGCAACCUCAUGAAGCGCCAUCCACUCACCUCCAGACAGUCUGGGGAGAGAGACUGAAACUUCUGUCUAAGCCACUUCAUCUUUGAUCUCCUUGUUUUUGUGGUUC
rnacentral:lncRNA from 1 species